GACGAACGCUGGCGGCGUGCCUAAUACAUGCAAGUCGAGCGGACUGAUUAAGAGCUUGCCCUUAUGACGUUAGCGGCGGACGGGUGAGUAACACGUGGGCAACCUGCCCUGUAGAUCGGGAUAACACCGAGAAAUCGGUGCUAAUACCGGGUAAUAUCUGAGAUCACAUGAUCUUAGGUUAAAAGAUGGCUCCGGCUAUCACUACAGGAUGGGCCCGCGGCGCAUUAGCUAGUUGGUAAGGUAAUGGCUUACCAAGGCGACGAUGGGUAGCCGACCUGAGAGGGUGAUCGGCCACACUGGGACGGAGACACGGCCCAGACUCCUACGGGAGGCAGCAGUAGGGAAUCUUCCGCAAUGGACGAAAGUCUGACGGAGCAACGCCGCGUGAGUGAUGAAGGGUUUCGGCUCGUAAAGCUCUGUUGUUAGGGAAGAAACAGUACCGAACGAACUAGGUCGGUACCUUGACGGUACCUAACCAGAAAGCCACGGCUAACUACGUG
rnacentral:rRNA from 1 species